GGAGGGUGCGAGCGUUGUUCGGAAUUAUUGGGCGUAAAGAGCGUGUAGGCGGUUUGGUAAGUCAGAUGUGAAAGCCCUGGGCUCAACCCAGGAAGUGCAUUUGAUACUGCCAUCCUUGAGUAUGGGAGAGGAGAGUGGAAUUCCCAGUGUAGAGGUGAAAUUCGUAGAUAUUGGGAAGAACACCCGUGGCGAAGGCGACUCUCUGGACCAAUACUGACGCUGAGACGCGAAAGCGUGGGGAGCAAACAGGGAUUAGAUACCCUGGUAGUCCACGCCGUAAACGAUGAGAACUAGGUGUAGCGGGUAUUGACCCCCCCUGCUGUGCCGGAGCUAACGCAUUAAGUUCUCCGCCUGGGGAGUACGGCCGCAAGGCUA
rnacentral:rRNA from 1 species